AUCAGGACCGCUGUGUACCACGUGGUUUAAUUCCGCGUCUGCGAAGGGAAGCCAGAUUACAGAGGAACAUCUGAAACCUCAGUUGUACUCAAAGCCAUUAUUAAAAAUGUAAAUAUACACACAAUGGUAUGCAGUCGGAUGAUCUGACCCUGGAAUGGAUUUAGAGGAGGCUUACCAGGUGGUUGGAGAGUUCGGUAGACACCAGAAGCGGAUGGUCACCAUCCUGGUUCUCCUACAGAUUUACAUGGCAUGUCAGACCAUGCUCAUAAUUUUAGUGGGUGCUGUGCCAGAAUAUCACAUAGAACGUGUUACUGGAGAUCCGCAUGAUGAUAUAACACAAAGUGUGAAAUUCACAAAAGACGUCAGCUCAAUCGUGACCGAGUGGUACCUGAUUAAGCAUGAAGCCUACAAAGUAAACUUGGCUGGGUCUCUGUUCUUUGCGGGUGUGCUGAUCGGAAAUGUCCUGUUUGGACCACUCUCCGAUAAGAUUGGCAGGAAGCCGGUUUUCCUUACUAGUCUGUUUUUUGAGGUCUUGUUUGGGUACGGAACAGCGUUAGCGCCAAGUUAUGAGGUGUUUGCUGUGUCUCGGCUGCUGGUGGGAAUGAUGAACGGAGGAAUGGCGUUGGUCUGCUUUGUUCUUACUCAGGAAUAUGUGGGGAAGUCCUACUGGGCUUUGACAGGGACCUUGACUAAUAUGACCUUUGCAGUGGGCAUCGCUCUGUUUGCUGCGUUGGGUUAUUAUGUUCAGCCGUGGCGGAACCUAGCAGCUGCAGCCAACUGUCCUGGACUUUUGCUCUUCCUGCUCUGUGUUACUUUGCCAGAAUCUCCACGCUGGCUUUAUUCUCGGGGUCAGACGGAGAAGGCUGAAGACAUCCUGAAGGAUUUUGCUGUGAGGAACGGGAAAGGCAGAAUUCCAGUGAAGCUCCGGCGGGCCGUCAGCACCAGCACUCCGGAUGCAUCCAGCCCUGGGGUUUUCCAGCUGGUCACACAUCCCAUACUGCGCUGGAGGACUGUGGUGCUCAUGUAUGUGUGGUAUGCGUGUAGCCUUGUGUAUUAUGGGUUGACCCUCAGUGCCAGUGAAGAUAAAGGUAAUCGUUACCUUAGCGUUGCCAUGUAUGGUCUGGUGGAACUCCCUGCAUACCCUCUCUGCAUGUACUUCAUUAACAAACAGUGGGCAGGCCGGAGGAAGUCAAUGGCCAAUUUUCUUGCAUUUGCAGGCGUAUCCUGUCUGCUCACAAUGUUCGUACCUGUAUCAGGGUCCUUAUUAAGUGCCACGUCACUGGCUCUAGUGGGAAAACUGAUGGUCAGUGCUGCAUUUAAUAUUGUGUACGUGUAUACGUCAGAGCUCUACCCAACUGUGAUCAGGAAUGCAGGGCUGGGUGUGUGUUCCAUGUCCUGUAGAGUUGGGGGAAUUCUGGCACCGUUUGUGCCGAGUAUGAAAUCAUUGCACACCUCCAUGCCAUUUAUGGUGUUCUGUUUGAGUGGGAUUUCCGCGGGCUGCCUGGGGCUUCUUCUGCCGGAGACACUUAAUAAACCUGCUGCUGAAACACUUGAUGAACUGUCCAGCCCCACCUACCAGCGAAUCUUACAGCCGCAGGUUCACCUUUUGGAAGAAAAGCAUUUAAUUGACCACAACGGGGCUGAUAGUGACUGAGACAAAGACCUUGAAAACAUUAUAUUACACCUGUUUACAUACAUUCCUUGACCAUGGUCAGAAUUUCGUGCCAUACACUGACUCACUGAAAGACUAAAGGUGCCUUCCAGAAGAAAUCUGUCUGCUCAAAGGAUCAAUUCAACAGAUUUAACUGUCAGGACUAAUUUAAAAUAAUGGAAAACGGACCAGAAUCUCAUUCGUUCACUCUUUUCUCAUAAUGUCUGACAAUUAUGACAACUAAUUUCAUGUGUUUACUGCCAUUUAUAAACAAAUGUCUUGUUAUUUUUUUGUGAGCUGUGACAUUGCAUUCACCAGAGUGUAUAUAUUAGCAUUCAAUUAAUAAUCAAUAAUGGCUGCAAAUUUCAGUGAUACUGAAUCUUAGUUUUAGGUUGUUUUAAGGAAAUGGUUCACUCAAAAAUUAAAAUUUUCACUUAUUUACUAUUUUAAAUCUUUACCGACAAUAUUUUUCCAUCAUACUCAUAUGCUGGUAUUUUUUCUGUGCAACACACACGUAGUUCGGUCAUUGGACACUUGAUUUGAAAUUCAAUAAAUAUUAUCAGUGAAUAAAUUAGAUUUGGGAUUCAUACUUUUAUUCAUGACUUUUUUUUUUUUGCCUUUGGUGUUUUACUGAAAAAAAAUAGCAGCAUGUUGGUUUGAAUCAACACGGGGGUGAAUAAUAGCAGAAUUUUAAUUUUGGGGUGAACUGUUGUUUUAAGAGACCCUUUUUUACCAUUAUUGAUUGUUGUUUUUCUCCAAAGGGAGAAGUGAAGUGUUAAACACAUAUAUUUGUGUAUAUUUCUGUACAGUGCUAAACAUGCAUUUGUGUUUAUCCUGAGAGUUAAGGGAAAUGCUUUGAAAUAAAUGCCUCAUGUAUAUUGCGCAUGAGCGUUUAAGUCCGUUUGUCACCAGUAGAUGGCACUGUGUUGAAGGCCACCUCCCCUGAACUGAAGUCACCUUUGACCUGUUCCAGUCCUCGUGGUGAUGAUGUCAGCGUUGACGCAGGUGAGCAGUGCUCAGGUAGACCACAGGAUUCAGGAGCUGGGAGUUUCAAAGAAGCCGGCACAAAACUUUCAACCACAAACCUGUUUGUUUUGUUUUGUUUCCGUCUCUCUUUCCUUGCUGUAAUCGCAGCCUGUGGCGCUGCAUGUAGCUGACGGAACAGGUUGAGAGAGAGCAGGCAUUAACUAUAAUAACUGUUUUCAUUCUGUAAGUCUUCCUUCAAGGCCUGGCGGGCGUUAUAUCACCCUGCACAAGGAGAUAAACAGCAGCUCAUCACAUUCAGAAAGCAC